UGGGACUCCCCAGCCUUGACUUCUACCACCUCUCCUUCCUUUCCUGUAGAAGUUCUUUAAGCAUUGCCUUGGACCCGGGUGCAGCUGUGAAGGUUCCUCAUGUCGGUUCGUGGGUGUCUAGAAGAGAAAGAGACAGAACAAAGAUGGACGCAGCCUGGGCUCCCGGAGGCAGAGCUCCUCUUUGUUUUCAAUCUGCACCUUACAGACUGAUGAUGUCUUUGGCUGAAAGCAGGUCCUGUCCCUCAGCACGUUCAUGUGCUCACACGCUCGGACACCCACCUUCCCCGUACACACAUACACUCAUAGCCUCUCUGGCCUCCCCCCACGGGGAAGGACCACUUGUAGUAUUUGCCUUGGUUUGGUGGGGUACAGUGGAUGUGAAUACUGUAAAUAGCUUGUGCUCAGACACCUCUGCGUGGACGAGGCGGGUACAGGACUCGGACCCUCCUCCCAAGACUCCCUGGGAAGAUCUCCCUCUAUUUAACUAACCGACGGGGAACUCAGGUCUGGGAACGGAGGGGCACCUUGGGCCACAGAAUACUGGUUGCUUCAGGGGCAAUACCCUCUGUCCUGGCCUGGAAUCAGUGUUAUUACAUCUGAUCAAACGUCUCCAGAAAUAAAGUGAGAAUAAUUCUG
rnacentral:lncRNA from 1 species